AGGGCUAGAGAGAGCCACGCCCACCGCGCCGACGUCUCUGCGCAUGCUCCGGGCGCCAGCUGUGGGGAUGCUCCGGGCGCUAGCUGUGGGGAUGCUCCGGGCGCUAGCUGUGGGGACUUUCCGCAGCGCUCAGUUCACAUGUGUACGUCGGAAGUGAUACUUGGGUCCGGCAUUCAAGGACGCUCUCGUUCCUGUUCCAGCGUCUCGCUGGAGUCGGUCGUGGUCCAGGAGUCAAGAGCCCGCCCGGGAGAAGGAGCAGGUCACGGUCUCGGUCCGAAAGGCGCCACCAGAGAAAGUACGGGCGCCACUCGCAGUCUUCCUCGCGGAGCGGGUCGCAAUCCCGCAGGAAGUGCCGCUCUCGGGGAAGGUCGUAUUACAGAAGGGCCUUCUCGAACACGCAGGGUGACAGUACUAGGGCUUUGACCCUGUGGUGUACCCGAAAGAACACAGCACUUGGAGGGAGAGAUCCAGGAAGAGGUCGCAGAGCAGAACCCCGUUUCCUGUAAAAUGGAGCUAUUAGAAAUAGCAAAAGCAAGCGCAGCUAAAUCAUUCAGAACAGCCAACCUUGACUUCCCAGCUAGUCUCAGAACUGUUCCUUGUAGCUAAAGAAAGAAACUGUGGAACAGCUGUAUCAAAUACUGCAAAGUUCAAGUUUCUUGUGUCAUAAGUGGGAUCUGAAGACUAUCCCCUGACAAGCCCUGAGGCCGGUGAGUAACCAGGUGCCAGUACCUAACAAGCCCAUUGUGCUCACUGCUUUCUCAUUGGCCAUGGAAUUCUAGGGAUCCCAUCCAGGACAGCACGUUACAUUUAUGUCUCCUGAGGCUCCUCUUAACUGUGACAGUUUCUCAGACUUUCCUUGUUUCUGAUGCACAGAUUUGAGGAGUACUGGUCAGGAAUAUUGUAGGUGUUGGUUAUUUUUUGUAUGUAACAUUUCAUGAUUAAAAAUUACUAAUCAGGGGGACUUCCCUGGUGGUCCAGUGGUUAAGAAUCCAUCUGCCAAUGCAGGGGACACAGGUUCCAUCCCUGGUCUGGGAAGAUCCCAUAUGCCGUGGGGCAGCUAAGCCCGUGCACCAUACUACCAAGCCCGAGCUCUAGAACCCGCGUGCCGCAACUACUGAGCCUGCGUGCUGCAACUACUGAAGCCUGCACGCCUAGAGCCUGUGCUCCACAACAAGAGAAGCCACUGCAGUGAGAAGCCCACGCACUGCAACGAAGAGUAGCCCCGCUCGCCGCAUCUAGAGAAAACACUGCGAGCAGCAAUGAAGACCCAGCGCAGCCAAAAAACAAAAAAGAACCUAAGAGUGGUGAUCAUUAAAAAAAAAAAGAAAAAUUAGUAAUCAGGGACUUCCCUGGCGGUCCAGUGGUUAAGAAUUCGUGCUUCCACUGCAGGGGGCACAGGUUCGAUUCCUGGUUGGGGAACUAAGAUCCCGCAUGCCAUACGGCAUGACCAAAAAGAGAAAAAAAUUACUAAUCAAUUGUGAUAGCAAUACCUGUUGGGCCUACCUUAAAACACACACACACACACACACACACACACACACACAC